GUCUCAGUACAGACUGUAAUAAAGUGAAACCGCAAAAGGCUCAGUAAACCAGUUUUAAUUUACUUGAGUAAACUUGACUGUCUUUGGAUAACUGUGGUAAUUCUAGAGCUAAUACAUGCAACAAAGCCCUGACUUUCACGGAAAGGGCGCUUUUAUUAGAUCAAGACCAUUCGUCAGGCUUGUCCUGGCGUCUGCUUGAUGAACCUAGAUAACACAUCAGAUCGUAUGGUCUUUGAACCGACGACUUAUCUUUCAAAUGCCUGACUUAUCAACUGUCGAUGGUAGACUCUGCGUCUACCAUGGCUCCUACGGGUGACGGGGAAUCAGGGUUCGAUUCCGGAGAGGGAGCCUGAGAAACGGCUACCACAUCCAAGGAAGGCAGCAGGCACGCAAAUUACCCACUCCCGGCACGGGGAGGUAGUGACAAAAAAUAACGAUACGGGACUCAUAUGAGGCCCCGUAAUCGGAAUGAGUACACUUUAAAUCCUUUAACAAGGAUCCAUUGGAGGGCAAGUCUGGUGCCAGCAGCCGCGGUAAUUCCAGCUCCAAUAGCGUAUAUUAAAGUUGUUGCGGUUAAAAAGCUCGUAGUUGGUUCUGCGUGCUGCGCUGUCGGUACACCGUUUGUCGGUGACACUGGCAUGUCGUUGCAUGUCCUGUCGGUGGUGACCGGGGUCGCCGUGUGCGAAUGGCUUCCAUGAGCACCAACGGUUUCUCCGGUUGCCGACUAUAUCCUACCGCGGUGCUCUUCAUUGAGUGUCGAGGUAGGCCGACACGUUCACUUUGAACAAAUUAGAGUGCUUAAAGCAGGCCAAAAUCUCUGCCUGAAUAGUGGUGCAUGGAAUGAUGGAACAGGACCUUGGUUCUAUUUUAUUGGUUUUCGGAACACAAGGUAAUGAUCAAUGUGGACAGGCGGGGGCAUUCGUAUUGCGACGUUAGAGGUGAAAUUCUUGGAUCGUCGCAAGACGCACUAGAGCGAAAGCAUUUGCCAAGUAUGUCUUAAUUGAUCAAGAACGAAAGUUAGAGGUUCGAAGGCGAUCAGAUACCGCCCUAGUUCUAACCAUAAACGAUGCCAGCCAGCGAUCCGCCGAUGUUCCUCCGAUGACUCGGCGGGGAGCUUUCCCCGGGAAACCAAAGCUUUUGGGUUCCGGGGGAAGUAUGGUUGCAAAGCUGAAACUUAAAGGAAUUGACGGAAGGGCACCACCAGGAGUGGAGCCUGCGGCUUAAUUUGACUCAACACGGGAAACCUCACCAGGUCAGGACAUUGGAAGGAUUGACAGAUUGAUAGCUCUUUCUUGAUUCAGUGGGUAGUGGUGCAUGGCCGUUCUUAGUUCGUGGAUCGAUUUGUCUGGUUAAUUCCGAUAACGAACGAGACUCUAGCCUAUUAACUAGGCGUUUCUGGUAUCGUAGCUACCGGCGAUACAUAUUCUUCUUAAGGGGACAGGCGGCUUAUAGCCGUACGAGAUUGAGCAAUAACAGGUCUGUGAUGCCCUUAGAUGUCCUGGGCCGCACGCGCGCUACACUGAAGGAAUCAGCGUGUGCAUUCCCUUGGCCGAAAGGUCCGGGUAACCCGCUGAACCUCCUUCGUGCUAGGAAUUGGGGCUUGCAAUUGUUCCCCAUGAACGAGGAAUUCCCAGUAAGCGCGAGUCAUAAGCUCGCGUUGAUUACGUCCCUGCCCUUUGUGCACACCGCCCGUCGCUACUACUGAUUGAAUAAUUUAGUGAGGUCUUCGGACUGGUGGUAAGCUUUACCGACUUCGUUGGUCUUGCUGAACGCUGGAAAGAUGACCAAACUUGAUUA
rnacentral:rRNA from 1 species